AUUGAACGCUGGCGGCGUGCUUAACACAUGCAAGUCGAUCGGUAACAGGUGUAGCAAUACAUGCUGACGAGAGGCGGACGGGUGAGGAAUAUUUGGGAAUCUGCCCAUCAGCGGGGGACAACCCGGGGAAACCCGGGCUAAUACCGCAUACGCUCUACGGAGGAAAGUCGGGGACCGCAAGGCCUGGCACUGAUGGAUGAGCCCAAAUCGGAUUAGCUAGUUGGCGGGGUAACGGCCCACCAAGGCGACGAUCCGUAGCUGGUCUGAGAGGACGAUCAGCCACACCGGAACUGAGACACGGUCCAGACUCCUACGGGAGGCAGCAGUGGGGAAUAUUGGACAAUGGGCGAAAGCCUGAUCCAGCCAUGCCGCGUGUGUGAAGAAGGUCUUCGGAUUGUAAAGCACUUUAAGUUGGGAGGAAGGGCAGUCAGCUAAUACCUUGCUGUCUUGACGUUACCGACAGAAUAAGCACCGGCUAACUCUGUGCCAGCCGCCGCGGUAAUAC
rnacentral:rRNA from 1 species